GUAGGAUAGAAUUGCUUCGGCUCAGGCUACAUCCAAGUUGAGGUUGUUUGUGUCGAGUAUAACGCUUAUUUGUAGGACUGAUAACGUGUUUAGGUAGAUUGCGGUAUCUUGAAUAGUUGCUGCGAAAUCAAAGUCUUAUAUUCUACAAACAGCUAGCAAUGGCGGAUUUAAAUAUAAACUAAUAUCAACCAGGAUUUUUAUGCUGCAAGGCUUUUCCCUGACGAGUCUAUAAACUAAACCUAAUUGCCGGAGGACUACUCCAUAUUGGAAGAAUCUUGGCAAAUACAAGUAUCAUAUUUUGUAAUGGUU
rnacentral:lncRNA from 1 species